rnacentral:rRNA from 1 species
AUUGAACGCUGGCGGCAUGCCUUACACAUGCAAGUCGAACGGUAACAGGCCUUCGGGUGCUGUCGAGUGGCGGACGGGUGAGUAAUGCAUCGGAACGUGCACAGAGGUGGGGGGUAACGCAGCGAAAGCUGUGCUAAUACCGCAUGUGAUCUGAGGAUGAAAGCGGGGGGCCAAGCAACAGAGUUUGGCCUCGCGCCUCUGGAGCGGCCGAUGUCAGAUUAGGUAGUUGGUGGGGUAAGGGCUUACCAAGCCGACGAUCUGUAGCUGGUCUGAGAGGAGGACCAGCCACACUGGGACUGAGACACGGCCCAGACUCCUACGGGAGGCAGCAGUGGGGAAUUUUCGACAAUGGGCGCAAGCCUGAUGCAGCAAUGCCGCGUGCGGGAUGAAGGCCUUCGGGUUGUAAACCGCUUUUGUAAGGAAAGAAAAGGUUCGUGCUAAACCCUGGGGGUGAUGACGGUACCGUAUGAAUAAGCACCGGCUAACUACGUG